GGGCUCGUCGUAUACCGGUAGUACGGAGCUAUGGCAUAGCUCAAAAAGGGGUUCGAUUCCCCUCGAGUCCACCA
rnacentral:tRNA from 1 species